rnacentral:rRNA from 1 species
UACGAAGGGGGCUAGCGUUGCUCGGAAUACUGGGCGUAAAGCGUGCGCAGGCGGUUUUGUAAGCCAGAUGUGAAAUCCCCGGGCUUAACCUGGGAAUGGCAUUUGGGACUGCAAGGCUCGAGUGCGGCAGAGGAGACUGGAAUUCCCGGUGUAGCGGUGAAAUGCGUAGAUAUCGAGAGGAACACCUGCGGCGAAGGCGGGUUGCUGGGCUGACACUGACGCUGAUGCGCGAAAGCCAGGGGAGCGAACGGG